GUAAAUGUGAUUACUAAUAAUUUCAUCAUGAUUGCUAUGACUACAAUUUACUUAUUCUUAAUUUAUUUUUAUAAUGAACUGCUUCAGUAAAAUGACAAAUGAUUCCAUUAGUUAAGAAACUAAAAUGUCAAUUUGCUUGUGGUCUUUGGUGACUAAUUUGCUGAGUUGAGGUUUUUGUUUUCGUUAUGAUAAUAAUAUUUGGCUAUGCUCUGUGAGCAAAAUUUAUGAGGUCUUAAAUAUUAAUCUUUCGAUUUACUGAAACAAGGUAAUUUUCAGCUUUAAAAAUAUUAGCAGUUCCCCUUUUAGGGUCUUGAACAUGUAAGUUUUAGGCACAAACUUCUGAAAUAUUGUCAUCCAAAAAAUAAUGCUCUCUUUGUUCCCUGGGAUCAAAACAAUUCUUUCCACUAAUGACUGCAAAUAUCAGCUCAUUUCUAACACAGUUUCCAAUGGCAAACAUUGCUCAGUAGUCAGUAAAAGAAAAGGGAUUACAUCAGCAUUCAAGGGGGAAAAUGUUCCGUUCCUUCUUACUCCAUAGUCUAUGUUCAAUCAGCCUGGAGCUAAUGGAAGCCCUCCAGUGCUGAGAAAUAAACAAACACAGUUGGGCAAAUAGUCCAAAAUCAAAUCUAGUAUAUAAGGUGGACAAUACAUAGUUAGUUCCAUUACCGAGUCCUCCCUUGGGAGCCGGAGCAGCUUCUGAGCCCUUCUCAUUACACACCAGCACCGUCUGUAGCCAGUCUCAACCUGAUUUGGGAAUGUAUAAAGUACACGAAAAAAAAUAGACUCAGAAUUGGGAGCUAGAGAAUCCUAUUUCAAGUUUAAAUUUUGCUUGUGAAAGAUCAUUUGGCUUCAGACUCAGCAAACAGUGGGCCUCAUCACUCACAAUGAGGAACGCAUGUAGCAAGGAUUACUUCAGAUCAGGGAGAUUGAAGCUUUUGUCCAUGGGGCUGGCGCUGUGGUGUAGCGGGCUAAGCCACCACCUGGAGUACCAGCAUUCCAUAUGGGUGCCUGUUCAAGACCUGACUGCUCGACUUCCAAUCCAGCUCUCUGCUAUGGCCUUCGAAAGCAGUGGAGGACGGCCCAAUUCCUUUGGCCCCUGCACUCAAUUAGGAGUCCAGGAAGAGUAUCCUGGCUCCUGGUUUUGAAUUGGCGCAGCUCUGGCCAUCGUGGCCAAUUGGGGAGUGAACCAGUGGAUGAAAGACCUUUCUCUCUUUGCCUCUCCUUCUCUCUCUGUGUAACUCUGACAUUCAAAUAAAUAAGUAAAUCUUUAAAAAAAGAUUUUGUCC
rnacentral:lncRNA from 1 species